rnacentral:rRNA from 1 species
UACGAAGGGGGCUAGCGUUGCUCGGAUUGACUGGGCGUAAAGGGCGCGUAGGCGGAUGGUACAGUCAGAUGUGAAAUUCCUGGGCUCAACCUGGGGGCUGCAUUUGAUACGUGCUGUCUUGAGUUCGGAAGAGGGUCGUGGAAUUCCCAGUGUAGAGGUGAAAUUCGUAGAUAUUGGGAAGAACACCAGUGGCGAAGGCGACUUACUGGACUGUAACUGACGCUGAGGCAUGAAAGCGUGGGGAGCAAACAGGG